ACGUAGGGUGCAGGCGUUAAUCGGAAUUACUGGGCGUAAAGCGUGCGCAGGCGGUUUGUUAAGACAGAUGUGAAAUCCCCGGGCUUAACCUGGGAACUGCGUUUGUAACUGGCAAGCUAGAGUGUGGCAGAGGGGGGUGGAAUUCCAAGUGUAGCAGUGAAAUGCGUAGAUAUUUGGAGGAACACCAAUGGCGAAGGCAGCCCCCUGGGUCAACACUGACGCUCAUGCACGAAAGCGUGGGGAGCAAACAGG
rnacentral:rRNA from 1 species